GUUGAAUGAAGCCCAGCAGCAACAAAGGCAACCCACCUGUGUCUGCUGCAUGCCAGGGGCUGAACAAAACAGGUGGGAUUUUCAAGCACUUGACGUACUUCAGUUUGUGGGCAGCCUCCAUCUUUUCCCCCCUCUUGAGACAACCAUCCAAUAGCCAGAUGGGCUUAGGAAGGGAGCAAAGUACUGAAAAAUACAGAAUGGUUUGGGAGUUCUCUUUCACUCUCUUUUUUAAGAAACCAAUACAGUGGUACCUCGGGUUACAUACGCUUCAGAUUACAGACUCCACUAACCCAGAAAUAGUACCUCGGGUGAAGAACUUUGCUUCAGGAUGAGAGUAGAAAUCGUGCUCCGGCGACGCGGCAGCAGCAGGAGGCCCCAUUAGCUAAAGUGGUGCUUCAGGUUAAGAACAGUUUCUGGUAAGAACAGACCUCCGUAACAAAUUAAGUACUUAACCCGAGGUAAUAAUUAUAAUAAUAAUAAUAAUAAAUUUUAUUUAUAUCCCGCCCUCCCCAGCCGAGGUACCACUGUAUGACUGGAUUUUUUCUGAAAGGAUUGGACUGUGAAGGAGGCUCAAGUUCAACCUGGGUAUGACGUUAAGCUUCUUAGACAACAG